rnacentral:rRNA from 1 species
GUUGCCUCGGCGGAUCAGCCCGCUCCCGGUAAAACGGGACGGCCCGCCAGAGGACCCCUAAACUCUGUUUCUAUAUGUAACUUCUGAGUAAAACCAUAAAUAAAUCAAAACUUUCAACAACGGAUCUCUUGGUUCUGGCAUCGAUGAAGAACGCAGCAAAAUGCGAUAAGUAAUGUGAAUUGCAGAAUUCAGUGAAUCAUCGAAUCUUUGAACGCACAUUGCGCCCGCCAGUAUUCUGGCGGGCAUGCCUGUUCGAGCGUCAUUUCAACCCUCAAGCCCCCGGGUUUGGUGUUGGGGAUCGGCGAGCCCUUGCGGCAAGCCGGCCCCGAAAUCUAGUGGCGGUCUCGCUGCAGCUUCCAUUGCGUAGUAGUAAAACCCUCGCAACUGGGACGCGGCGCGGCCAAGCCGAUAAACCCCAAACCUCUGAAUGUUGACCUCGGACGGAGGAGGAAUACCCGCUGACUUUAAGCAAAUCAAGAAGCGGAGAGAA